rnacentral:lncRNA from 1 species
AGGAUUAUAUUUCAAAGGGAGGUUUCUCCCUGAGAAAGACAUUUCUGGGUUAUAAAACCGGCAGGAGGCUGGGGGAUUUUCUGUCUCAUAGGUGCAGAGAAAGAAUCUACAGUUGAAAGUUUUCUAAGGCAAAGGAUUUUUUAGGAAAGGGAGGUCAGGGACCUAGAGUGAAAGAAAAACCUGCCCAAAGUUUGGUCAGGCUGAAGGAAACAGUGAGGCUGUCUUGAUCACGUUAAAGGCCAGGGUGAGAGGAGUGACCAUGAACCAAAAGUUAGACCUGUCAGUCCAGCUCUGUACUCUGUACUCAUGCUACAACCCGACACGUCAGAGAGUUUGAUUUAGGGAGAACUGCGGUGUUCCUAAGUGACAGUGAUAAAGCAGAAGGACAAAGGAGUGGAGGGUGUAGGCCAGGAGGUGAUUCAAAUGGACCAGAAACUUUAAAGAUACAUAACUGAAGGGAAAGGGGAGCACCUGGGCAUAAAAGGGAUAAUGAAAAAUUAGUAAGCUCAUUGGUCUGAAGGUGUUGGUAGGGUAAAGAAUUAGGUGGCUGUGGAAGUAGAGGGUGUAAGCAGAAAAGAGGGAAGGUGGUGGCCAGAGGUGUGGUGCUUAGAACUGACAAGAUCUGGAGGGUAACAGUAGGGAAAGGGGCUGAUCCAGAGGGUAGGACUAGAUCCGUGGCAGCAAGGAGGUCUGGGGAAGCCUGGGUGGCUCAGUGGUUGAGCAUCUGCCUUUGGCUCAGGGUGUGAUCGGGGUCCUGGGAUUGAAUCCCAUCUCAGACUCCCCACAGGGAGCCUUCUUCUCUUUAUAUCUCUGCCUCUCUCUGUAUCUCUUGUGAAUUAAAACUAAAAAAAUCUUUAAGGAGGGGGUCCCUGGAUGACUGAGUUGGUUAAGUGUCUGCCUUUGGCUCAGGUUAUGAUCCUAUGGUCCUGGGAUGGAGCCCCAUGUCCCCAAGUCAGGCUUCUUGCUCAGCGGGGAGUCUGCUUCUUCCUUUCCCCCUGCCUGCCACCACCCCCACCCUGCUUGUGGUCCGUCUCUUUGUGUCAAAUAAAUAAAUAAAUAUCUUUAAAAAAUAAAUAAAACAAAAUCUUUAAGGAAUAAGAAACAGUGAGCCGGAGGCAAGACAGACCAUAAAUUACAUUUAAAAUAGUGGCAAUUAUUUUCUAGUGCCCAGCAGUUCAUCCAACAAUAAUGGAAUAAUUGCUAAAAUGUAAAUCAUCAGUCUCUCUAGUAAAUCCAUUGAACAAAAAAAAAAAAAAAAAAAAAAAAAA